rnacentral:rRNA from 1 species
AGUGAACGCUGGCGGUAGGCCUAACACAUGCAAGUCGAACGGCAGCACAGUAAGAGCUUGCUCUUACGGGUGGCGAGUGGCGGACGGGUGAGGAAUACAUCGGAAUCUACUUUUUCGUGGGGGAUAACGUAGGGAAACUUACGCUAAUACCGCAUACGACCUACGGGUGAAAGCAGGGGAUCUUCGGACCUUGCGCGAUUGAAUGAGCCGAUGUCGGAUUAGCUAGUUGGCGGGGUAAAGGCCCACCAAGGCGACGAUCCGUAGCUGGUCUGAGAGGAUGAUCAGCCACACUGGAACUGAGACACGGUCCAGACUCCUAAGGGAGGCAGCAGUGGGGAAUAUUGGACAAUGGGCGCAAGCCUGAUCCAGCUAUACCGCGUGGGUGAAGAAGGCCUUCGGGUUGUAAAGCCCUUUUGUUGGGAAAGAAAAGCAGCAGGUUAAUACCCCGCUGUUCUGACGGUACCCAAAGAAUAAGCACCGGCUAACUUCGUG